UACGUAGGGUGCAAGCGUUAAUCGGAAUUACUGGGCGUAAAGCGUGCGCAGGCGGUUGUGCAAGACCGAUGUGAAAUCCCCGGGCUUAACCUGGGAAUGGCAUUGGUGACUGCACGGCUAGAGUGUGUCAGGAGGGGGGUAGAAUUCCACGUGUAGCAGUGAAAUGCGUAGAGAUGUGGAGGAAUACCGGAUGGCGAAGGCAGCCCCCGUGGGAUAACACUGACGCUCAUGCACGAAAGCGUGGGGAGCAAACAGG
rnacentral:rRNA from 1 species